rnacentral:rRNA from 1 species
GACGAACGCUGGCGGCGCGCCUAACACAUGCAAGUCGAACGAGCGAGAGGAGGUUUACUUUCUCAAGCGAGUGGCGAACGGGUGAGUAACGCGUGAGGAACCUGCCUCAAAGAGGGGGACAACAGUUGGAAACGACUGCUAAUACCGCAUAAGCCCACGACCCGGCAUCGGGUAGAGGGAAAAGGAGCAAUCCGCUUUGAGAUGGCCUCGCGUCCGAUUAGCUAGUUGGUGAGGUAAUGGCCCACCAAGGCGACGAUCGGUAGCCGGACUGAGAGGUUGAACGGCCACAUUGGGACUGAGACACGGCCCAGACUCCUACGGGAGGCAGCAGUGGGGAAUAUUGCACGAUGGGGGAAACCCUGAUGCAGCGACGCCGCGUGGAGGAAGAAGGUCUUCGGAUUGUAAACUCCUGUUGUUGAGGAAGAUAAUGACGGUACUCAACAAGGAAGUGACGGCUAACUACGUG